UGCAGCGCGGGAGACUAGUUGAACUGCCGCGGGCGCUGUGGCGGGGCGGGCGCACCAUGGAGCGGCUGCGGGACCUGCGGGAGCGGCUGCAGGCGUGGGAGCGCGCGUUCCGGCAGCAGCACGGGCGGCGGCCAAGCCAGGACGACGUGAAGGCGGCGCCGGAGGAGACCCGCGCGCUCUACCGGGAAUACAGUUCUCUGAAGCGGACGGUGCGUCAGUCCGGUGGCGGCGGCGGGCCCCGCAGCCCAGAGUCGCUCCCCGCGGCGGCCGAGGAGGCGCCAGAGCCGCACUGCUGGGGGCCCCACCUGAAUCGGGCUGCGACCCAGAGUCCACAACCUACCCCAGGGCGGAGCUGUCAGGGCUUGUUCCGGGACUAUGGGCAGCGACUCAAGGCCAAUCUGAAAGGCACCUUGCAGGCCAGCCCAGCUCUGGGCCACAGACCUUGGCCUCCAGAAAGAUCCGCAUCCAAGACACCCAUCCCAAAGCUCCCAGGCACAGGACUUGUCCCCACCUUUGCAGAAAAAGUCAGUGAUAUGCCUCCACAGCCUUCUGGGCCCCGGCCAAGGCCAGGUCGGCUCCAGCACCUGCGGGCAUCCCUGAGCCUACGGCUGGGCUCCCUAGAUCCUGGCUGGUUGCAACGGUGUCACAGUGGGGUCCCAGACUUUCUGGGGGCCCCCAAACCCUGCAGGCCUGGCCUAGGCUCAGAGGAAUCACAACUUCUGACCACCGGUGAGUCCGCUGUCCUUGGUCCUGGUGCUCGCUCCCAGGGCCCAGAGGCUUCAGCCCUCCAAGAAGUCAGCAUCGGUGCAGGGAGCCCCCAACCCAGCAGCAGUCGAGGUGAGAAGCGGAGACGGAAUGAGGUGCCCUGGGGGAGCCCCACACAGGUCCAGCAGCAGAGCAGCCAAGCUGGACCUCCGUCUGAGGCGGCUGAGGCCAUAGCACUUGAGGAAGACUCUCCAGGGGAACCUGUACAGGCACAGCCACCUCAGCCGUGCAGCAGUCGGUCGACCCCCAGGUACCACAGACUCAGCCCCUCCAGUCAAGCCAGGGCAGAGAAGGCUGAGGGCAUAGCUCACUUGCACAUUUUCCCUAGGAUGGCUGGCCAUGACAGGGGCAAUUACGUACGGCUGAACAUGAAGCAGAAACGCUAUGUGCGGGGCCGGGCACUCCGUGGCAGGCUUCUCCGCAAGCAGGCACGGAAGCAGAAGUGGCAAAAGAAAGGGGAGUGUUUUGGCCGUGGUGAUACCACAGUCACAAUCAAGGAGUCUUGUUUCCUGAAUGGGCAGUUUGAUCACAGGGCACCCCAGUGUCCCCAGCCAGCAAGUGAGGAAGACACAGACCCUGAUAGGCCUGAGCCACUGGUUCCUGCGCCACAGCCUGUGCCUGAGGUGCCUGGCCUGGCCCCCACCGUGCUGCCACUCUACUCCCUGGGGCCCUCAGGGCAGGUGGCAGAGACGCCAGCGGAGGUGUUCCAUGCCCUGGAGCAACUGGGGCACCAAGCCUUCCGCCCCAGGCAAGAGCGUGCGGUCAUGCGGAUCCUCUCUGGCAUCUCCACGCUGCUGGUGCUGCCCACAGGGGCUGGCAAGUCCCUGUGCUACCAACUUCCGGCACUGCUCUACGCCCGGCGCAGCCCCUGCCUCACACUGGUCAUCUCUCCCCUGCUGUCACUCAUGGACGACCAGGUGUCUCGCCUGCCCCCGUGUCUCAAGGCAGCCUGCAUCCACUCGGGCAUGACCAGUAAGCAGCGGGAGUCUGUCCUGCAGAAGGUUCAGGCAGGCCAGGUACAUGUGCUGCUGCUGACCCCCGAGGCACUGGUGGGAGCCGGGGGUCUCCCUCCAGCCACGCAGCUGCCUCCAGUGGCUUUUGCCUGCAUCGAUGAGGCCCACUGCCUCUCUCAGUGGUCCCACAACUUCCGGCCCUGCUACCUGCGUGUCUGUAAGGUGCUUCGGGAGCGGAUGGGCGUGCAUUGCUUCCUAGGUCUCACGGCCACAGCCACACGCCGCACAGCCAGUGAUGUGGCCCAGCACCUGGCUGUGGCCGAAGACCCUGGCUUCCAUGGGCCAGCCCCAGUUCCCGCUAACCUGCACCUUUCUGUGUCCAUGGACAGGGACACAGACCAGGCUCUGUUAACUCUGCUGCAAGGCGAACGCUUUCGAAACCUGGAUUCCAUCAUCAUUUAUUGCAACCGGCGGGAGGACACAGAGCGGGUUGCUGCACUUCUCCGAACCUGCCUGCAUCCGGCCCAGGGCCCAGGGCCUAAAGGUCGUGCCCCCAAAACCAUGGCUGAGGCCUACCACGCAGGCAUGUGCAGCCGGGAACGGCAGCGGGUACAACGGGCCUUCAUGCAGGGCCAGCUGCGAGUGGUGGUCGCCACAGUGGCCUUCGGGAUGGGGCUGGACCGGCCAGACGUGCGGGCUGUGUUGCAUCUGGGGCUGCCCCCAAGCUUUGAGAGCUAUGUGCAGGCCGUGGGACGGGCCGGGCGUGACGGGCAGCCUGCCCACUGCCAUCUCUUCUUGCAGCCCCAGGUGGGCAUCCCCCCAACCAGCAGUGUUCGGGCCCCCAGUGCUCUGUCCACCCUCAUGACUGUCGCGCUCCAGGGGGAAGACCUGCGAGAGCUGCGCAGACACGUGCACGCCAACGGCAUGGACUUCUGGGCCAUCAAGAGACUGGUGCAGCGCGUAUUCCCAUCCUGUACCUGCGCCAGGCUGCCCGCAGAGCAGGAGGGGGCCAGGGGUGGGGACAUCCCUGUGGCCGAGUCCCCCCCUCAAGAGGUGGAGCAGCUUGGUGGCCGCCAAGCAGCCCCAGGACCUAGAAGGGCCUGUGUGGGCCACGAACGGGCACUCCCAGUGCAGCCGACCGUCCAGGCCUUGGACAUGCCAGAGGAGGGUGAGGAACCCAGGGUAAACCACGGGGGUGUGGAUGGGCCGGCCCCACGUUCCCUGAGCCCUGCUCUGCCCCCAGCCAUCGAGACUUUGCUGUGCUACCUGGAGUUGCACCCACGGCACUGGCUGGAGCUGUUGGCGACCACCUAUGCCCGUUGCUAUCUGCACUGCUCUGGCGGCCCUGCCCAGCUCCAGGCCCUGGCCCACAGGUGUCCCCCUUUGGCUGUGUGCUUGGCCCAGCGGCUGCCUGAGGACCCAGGACAAGGCAGCAGCUCAGUAGAGUUUGACAUGGUCGAGCUGGUAGACUCCAUGGACUGGGAGCUGGCCUGUGUGCGGCGGGCUCUCUACCAGCUGCAGUGGGACCACGAACCUCGGACAGGUACACCGCUCCCCACCCCUCCCCACCCCGCCCUGGAUGCUGCCUGCCUGCAUCUGACUUGCUUUCUGGCAGGUUUGUGGCGGAGCACAGGGGUACUUGUGGAGUUCAGGGAGCUGGCCUUCCACCUUCGCACCCCAGGUGACCUGACCGCUGAGGAGAAGGACCAGAUCUGUGACUUCCUGUAUGGCCGUGUACAGGCCCGGGAGCACCAGGCCUUGGCCCAUCUGCACAGAACCUUCCAGGCCUUUCACAGCCUUCCCCAGCUGUGGGCCCUGCCUGGAGCAGCAGGAUGAGGAGCGCAGUACCAGGCUCAAGGACCUGCUCAGCCGCUACUUUGAGGAAGUGGAAGAGGAAGCACAGGGGCCCGGCGGCUUGGGGGAUGCACAGGGUCCCGAGCCAGGGCAGGCCAGGCUCCAAGAUUGGGAAGACCAGGUCCGCCGUGACAUCCGUCAGCUCCUAUCCCUGAGGCCAGAGGAGAAGUUCUCAGGCAGGGCUGUGGCCCGCAUCUUCCACGGCAUUGGAAGCCCCUGCUACCCAGCCCAGGUGUUCGGGCAGGACCGGCGCUUCUGGAGAAAAUACCUGCACCUGAGCUUCCACGCUCUGGUGCGCCUGGCCACGGAAGAGCUGCUGCAGGUGGGCCGCUGACUGCACCGCGUGGAGGAUGUGGGGCAGAGCUGGGAUUGUCAGCGGCAAGGACAAUGACAAGCCCUGGGCAAAACCUGCCACAGGGCGUGGGACGAGGAGGCUCAAAAAGCAGAAUAAAAAGUGCUUACCUUUUUUUUUUUUU